GGAAGGAGAGGGACGGGGAGAAAGACACAUGAGUUCCUCUACACAGUCACACGAGUCAUCUCCAGCCUGUCCCUGGGGUCCCUCCCCCUACCACCAUGCUGACUAGACGUGGAAGUCAGAAGCCAACCUCUGCCCAUCAUUGCUGGCUGGAAACCAGAUUCCCUGAUUUCAAGAGGACUCACUGCUUCUGAGCGCCUGCUUCUCUGGAAAUGAUGCUGAAUAGAAAGGUGGACAGGAGUUGAGAACACUCAUAACAACCAGGCAAAUGAGGAUGCUAGUGCUUGGAGGUCCCAAUGUAAUGGAACCAGGCUCUCUACAGGGGUAGAGAAGUGAUAUGAUGCCUGCCUCUGGCCUCCUUGGGCACCAGGCAUGCCUGUGACGCAUAUACAUAAAUGCAGGUAAAAUACUGACACAGAUAAAAAAUAAAAGGAACAAAGGAUAAGAACGGGAGUGGGGUGGUCUGAAUAAGAAUUGCCCCCAUAGACUCCUGUA